rnacentral:lncRNA from 1 species
UUCUAGCCUGGCUUUGGCCAAGUAUCUUGCUUCAAGGUGAUGCGGCAGGUGGGAGCUGACUUUCUUGAGGAAGAAGGAAUUGGUUUUCAUUGUUUCUAAGGAUGGCAUUGAUACUAUGAUGAUCAUAUAUGAUGGUUGAUGAGAGUUUUCUAAUUCAUUAGAAAGUGGCGUGUGUCUCUUUAGAGGUUGCUGCAGGAUCAGGCUCUCUCCAAAAAACAUCUCUUCAUCAAAACUGAUCAAUGAGUAAGUGUAUAUAUGUAAUCCUUGUAAAUAAAUACUUAAAUACAUGUAAUUUCCUUUUUCAAGUUUUGUGACUUAGAGGAAGUAUUAAAACUAUUCAGUUUCAGAAUAAUAGUACGCC